GGCCAUAAAAUUUCUAUUUGGAAGAACUCAUUUACGCCUUGUUUAUUUUCCUUCAUGAUUAUAUAAUUUAGUUUAUGAAUUAUAUAAGCACCUAAUGAUAUGUUCAUAGAUUAUUAUAAUCUAGAUAUUUAGAUUAUAUAAUCCAUUUAUUAACAUGUGUUAUUUGUUUGUCUCUUAAAUGUUAGAUUAUACUCUCUCUAUGUUUUUUAUUUGACGUUUUGUAGUUUGUUUUUGUACUUCAAAUAUAAAUAAUAGAGGUAUUAUCUCUACAACUAUUAAGAACCAAAUGUAGACUGCCCCCGCCCUGCAACCGCCGCUCCGCUGCCCGCCGCUUCUCCCACACGCCGCCCUGCAACUGCCUCCCGCUUCUCCCGCAAGCCACCUCCCGCAUCCCCCGCCGCGAAACCCCCGCCGCCCACACGCACGCCAGCCGCCGCGAUGCACGCACGCGCCAAACACUCCCCCCGCGCUCGCCCGUUUGGAAGACGCUUUAUUGAAUCAUCAUGAUGCCGACGAUGCAAGCGUAGCGAUUGCCAAACUUAUGAGGUUGUCGUACUUACUGACUCGGCUGCAUGUGUAAGGAAAUUCAAACGUAUCUUUGAGCAAACAUGCUGAGUUCGAUUGGAGUUCGUUGACCAAGCAGGCAACCUUGGAUUUCGCUUUGUAAUGGAUAUUAUAAAAAAACAUCCAAAAAAAGAGGGCAGUCAUUUCUGAAUUUUAUCUUUUUGCUGAAUGUUCAAGUCAUUAGAAGGAAGCAGUCCCAAUCGUGCCACUUCCACUUGGAAGCUAGCAUUUUCUAUCCGGGUUGGUAGCUGAUUGGUGGUUGUGACCAAACUUGACUAUACUCAACACCGGUGAUCCUCGUUUGCUGCAGCAUCUCUAGCAUUUCGUUUUUCCAGCCCCGAGAAAUGCUCUAUUGCUUUGUAAUUGAAGAGUGGAGAAAUGUUAAUCUCGAUCUUUAGUGCUGCUCGCCUGCUAUGGCGCGUGGAACUAAGUUCAGUUAAACCCAGCUAUGGGUAUUCUUUACCA